ACACAAAUAUAUGGAAUUUUAAUGGAUGUUCUGAAGUAUGAACUAACAAAUUGAUCAUUUGUUGUGCAAAAUUUGCUUCAUUGCUUUGUCAAGAUGAGGCUUGCCUAAGAUAAACACGCUUAGUUUGUAAAGAAAGCACAUCAGCUUAUGUGAAGAUUUGGUGUACUCAAGCAGUUAAUAUUUAUUGAUUUUAUUCUUAUUUCCUAAUAUAAG
rnacentral:misc_RNA from 1 species